ACUACUCGUGCGCAGGCACUAGGCACGCUCUAGGCACAAGCACCUGACGAAGAACUGCUCCGAAUAUCGCAGCACCUACACUCGACGUAAUCGUCAUUUCAUCCUAAAUCGGUCGCAUCAACCAAGCCGCAAAAAUGACUGAGAUGUCGAGCAUGUCGGGUAUGUCUGCUAUGUCUGGUAUGUCUGGUAUGUCAGACGUCUCGUCGAUGUCGUCGAUGGGUGGAGGCCCGACGGGAGCUGGAGGGUAAGAUGGAUGACGAUGGAUAAAUGGAGACUGAACUGGAAUUAGACACGUACGAGAUAUGUUUUGCGUGAGAUACUGAAUCGAAAUACCAUGCAACAAAAACCAGUAUCUCAGAACCGCGCGAGGGUACACAAUAAACAUAGGGAAUGCUGACAACAAAUGACUUUCGCUGAACGUUACUCUAAACGAUUUACUCCGUAUGAACUUA